GAAACGAUCCAGCAAAAGUACAAGACGUUGUCACUGAUCCAGAAAGGAGCCAAUGGAAAAGUCUAUGGCGGGAUCAGAUAAAUGGAUGGCUUCAUGCCAUCAAACACAUCCCAAAGACACACGUGUGGAUGUGUCAGUUUAUAAACGGCAACUCUUAUCUGGUCCCUCUCGAGGUUUUGCUCAUGCAGCAAAGCGGACAAAUGAAAGGAAUUAUUUCACUUUACGACUGGUACAGUCUGGACCAAGAGAUUGUCCUGGUGCUGGAGAGGCCAGUGCCCUGCAUGGACCUCUUUAACUUCAUCCAUGGAAAUGGCCAAAUGGACGAAGCACAAGCUAAGGAAAACGGGAGUGGCCGGAGAAAACCCACGCAGGCACAAGGAGAACAUGCAAACUCCACACAGGCAUGGCCGGGAUCGAACCUUGGACCUCAGAAGUGAAAGAUCGUCUUUAAGCAGCUUGUGGACGCAGCAGUCAUGAUGGAUGCUGCAGAUGUCUUCCAUUGUGACAUCAAGAUGGAAAACGUCCUCAUUGACACCAGCUCCGAGGUCCUUCGAGUCUGGAUCAUCGAUCUCGGAAACGGCUGCUUUGGGACCUCCUUGGUGCACAAGAACUUCUUUGGAACCACUGAACUUGCUCCUCCAGAAGUUGCUGCAUGUGGGGAGUACAAGGCUGACCCCGCCACAGUUUGGCAGCUCGGGACUCUGCUCUACG